AAACCCACCAACUGAGGAUUUAUUGAGCAGGAAAAAAUAAUGAACAGAAUUUAUCUGUACAAAAUUCCUAUUGUGAUCACAGAAACCUUGAUAAUGUUAACCAGUCCUAAUUAAAUUGGCAACAUUUAUGACUAGAAACACAAAAAAUAGAUACGCAUAACGUAAAUUGAUCUGCGCCAAAUACUUUUGUAGUUGCUUAUGUCUUUGUAAUUUGUGACUGUAGUUGUUGAAGCCAAUGGGGAAGAACGAUAUAAAAGUUGAGCUGC